CAAAAAAAGGCUUAGCACAGGAGAAGCAACAGGAGAGCCUAGGCUGGGCUGCCUUAGCUCACUGGGAAGUCAGAGAAAAGGGGCCUUAGGGAUGGGUUCAGGGGAUAAGCCUGGGACAAGCUGCAGGACUGCUGCUGCCC